AGCUCACGAUGCCCGCCUACUGGCGCCCUAGCAACCGGGUUGCGAACCAUGUUCUAUCCCGACUAAGUGGCCGUCCUGGGAGUUAUAGUGCCACUAGCCGGCCUCGGCUGUUCCCUGUCCGAGGCUCUUGUCAUUUCCGCUUAUUUCCUCCACGGGUGCCGAUUUCAUGUGUGUGUUCCCGAGUGCCUGAGCCGGCUCCCGAAAUGAGUACUCGUGGUUUCCGCGUGGGAACCAACCUCGAGCGCCAGUGGCCCGCCCUCUCCGGGCUGAGGUGGCUGCUGAGGCUGGGGCUGCUCCUGAGGCUUCAGGGCCGCCCGCUGCACGGCUUUCUACCUUCCCAGGUUAGCCGCGGUCAACUUCUGCCAGGCGGAGCGAGAAAUCGCAUUUUGUCAGCCUACUCAAUGUGAAGACAAUAAGGAUGAAGACCUUUAUGAUGAUCCAUUUCCACUUAGGGAAUAGCUCAGCAGAGAUCCAGUCCAGGGGAAAGUGAAGAAAAUGCAACCUGUUUAAGGACAGCCCUGUUUUUCUUUGAGAUUUUUUUCCUGCCAUGACUGCUAAUGAAUGAUCCAAGAUGUUCUUGUCGCAGUGUGAUUUUUCUCCUGCUUGUUCCUAAAGAGAAGCCAAGAAGCCGAGGAAUUAAUGAUGUCACAGUAAAAUUGUAGGGAUUACACAAUAUGAUUCUGGAAGUUAGGCUGGUGAAUUUCAGAUAGGAGUCAGCAGAAGCUGGGUUUCUGGGGAGAAAAAGAUGCUGCGUUACAGCCAGCAUUUUUUGAUGAAUGCAAAGAAAUGUGCCUGUUAACAUAGGGUGCUUCUCCUUUCUUGAAGCAGGCAGUCAGGGUUUGCAUUGAAAAAAUCAAAGAGCUUGCCUUGGAAGUGCUGCAUGUUGAUGAGCCAACAAAGAUCAUAGUCGUGAUGUGGCUGUUCUGAUAGCUCCUCUCUGUUUCUCAUCACUUACAUUGACUCCAACUUAUUUUCUUAUUAAGCCAUAUAAUAAAUGUUUACAAAUCA
rnacentral:lncRNA from 1 species